rnacentral:rRNA from 1 species
AAGUCGAACGGUAACAGGAAGNAGCUUGCUUCUUNGCUGACGAGUGGCGGACGGGUGAGUAAUGUCUGGGAAACUGCCUGAUGGAGGGGGAUAACUACUGGAAACGGUAGCUAAUACCGCAUAACGUCGCAAGACCAAAGAGGGGGACCUUCGGGCCUCUUGCCAUCGGAUGUGCCCAGAUGGGAUUAGCUNGUAGGUGGGGUAACGGCUCACCUAGGCGACGAUCCCUAGCUGGUCUGAGAGGAUGACCAGCCACACUGGAACUGAGACACGGUCCAGACUCCUACGGGAGGCAGCAGUGGGGAAUAUUGCACAAUGGGCGCAAGCCUGAUGCAGCCAUGCCGCGUGUAUGAAGAAGGCCUUCGGGUUGUAAAGUACUUUCAGCGGGGAGGAAGGGAGUAAAGUUAAUACCU